UGGGGAAUUUUGGACAAUGGGCGCAAGCCUGAUCCAGCCAUGCCGCGUGCAGGAUGAAGGCCUUCGGGUUGUAAACUGCUUUUGUACGGAACGAAAAGGUGCCUUCUAAUAAAGGGCGCUCAUGACGGUACCGUAAGAAUAAGCACCGGCUAACUACGUGCCAGCAGCCGCGGUAAUACGUAGGGUGCGAGCGUUAAUCGGAAUUACUGGGCGUAAAGCGUGCGCAGGCGGUUUUGUAAGACAGAGGUGAAAUCCCCGGGCUCAACCUGGGAACUGCGUUUGUGACUGCGAGGCUAGAGUACGGCAGAGGGGGGUAGAAUUCCACGUGUAGCAGUGAAAUGCGUAGAGAUGUGGAGGAAUACCGAUGGCGAAGGCAGCCCCCUGGGUUAGUACUGACGCUCAUGCACGAAAGCGUGGGGAGCAAACA
rnacentral:rRNA from 1 species